GGCCACUCCUCCCCCAACAAUCUUUACUCCAGUACUGCUCAGAGGCCCUCUUGCUGCCGCCUGACCCAGGCCUCUCUCUAUAGCUGUCCAGGCACCUUCCUAGGACACAGGCCCUGAGUAGAGGCCAAGCUACAGAUCUAGGAAGUGAGUUUCUUUUGGAGCCUGGAGGAAACUGGAGAAUGAAAGGAACCCCCCGUCUGGGGAUCCCUGGGAGGAAUGAGAUCAGAUUGACCUGUUGCUGCUGUUGGGAGAUUAUCGUAAUUAAAUGAACUGAGGUUGGAAGACCUGCCUACUGUGGGUGGCAACAUUCCUUAGAGCAUGCAGGAUUUAAUCAUGGGACUCCUCCCGGUUAUCCUGUUGUUGCUCUGGGACAUGCUUGGUUUUAAGACAAGGACACUGUCUGUUUAAGUAUCUGUGGCUUUUCAUGUGCUGUUUGGAAGCAGAGUGCUUGGCAAGGCUGUGAAGGUUGCUUUGGCUGGGCCCUGGCUAACACAGUGAUGUACUCUCCUGAUGUGACGGGACAAGAAGGAGCUGUCACCUCUUUGGUCCUCUUCCCAUCACUCUGGGUUAGCCAGAGAUGUGCCAAAUGAAGCCCAACUGAGGAUGUUCUACAAAACAUCUGGCUCAAAGUGGUCAAGGUCACCAAUGGGAAGUCUGUGAAACUUCACAGCCAAGGGGAGCCCACAGGAUCGGAGAGUGAACUGAGCCAAGGCAGGAAGUGACACUUAUAAAAGAGUAAUGCCGUCUGAAUCCAGUUCAGGCUUCAGCUCCUGACCACACUGAUGGGUUGUUGGGACAAAUGAGCCAUGAGAACACAAGGACUGACAGUCUGGAUCAGUGGUCUUCAACCCGUGGCUCGAGACCCCACCAGAAACCCUGUGUAUCAGACAUUUGCGCUAUCAUUCACAGCGGUAGCAAAACUACAACUAUGAUAUAGCAACAACAGCAGUUCUAUGGUUGGGGGAUCACGGCAACACGAGG